rnacentral:misc_RNA from 1 species
CAUAAACAGAACUUGCAAAGAAUAAAGGAGCUAGCUACCUAGGUUGUGAACGAAGCUAUACAAGUAAAGAAAGACAAUAAUAGAAACAUAUAUCAAAGCAGCAACCUCAAAGAUUUUCAAGGUUAGAAAAAGCUUUAAUCUAGAAAGCUGGAAGAAAUCGAAGAAAACCCAAAUUUUUCUGGUCUCGUGAUUCACAUAGUAAGCGAACAGUUAUAAUGACCAAAAGAAAUCUGAGUGAGAACCCAUGACUAAGACCAGACUCUAUCCUCCCAUUUGACGAUCAAAGAGCAAGACUUUGAAAAGUAUUGAAACUAG